GGGUUGUGAGGUUAAGCGACUAAGCGUACACGGUGGAUGCCCUGGCAGUCAGAGGCGAUGAAGGGCGUGCUAAUCUGCGAUAAGCGCCGGUAAGGUGAUAUGAACCGUUAUAACCGGCGAUACCCGAAUGGGGAAACCCAGUGUGACUCGUCACACUAUCAUUAACUGAAUCCAUAGGUUAAUGAGGCGAACCGGGGGAACUGAAACAUCUAAGUACCCCGAGGAAAAGAAAUCAACCGAGAUUCCCCCAGUAGCGGCGAGCGAACGGGGAGGAGCCCAGAGCCUGAAUCAGCAUGUGUGUUAGUGGAAGCGUCUGGAAAGGCGCGCGAUACAGGGUGACAGCCCCGUACACAAAAGCGCAUGUGCUGUGAGCUCGAUGAGUAGGGCGGGACACGUGGUAUCCUGUCUGAAUAUGGGGGGACCAUCCUCCAAGGCUAAAUACUCCUGACUGACCGAUAGUGAACCAGUACCGUGAGGGAAAGGCGAAAAGAACCCCGGCGAGGGGAGUGAAAAAGAACCUGAAACCGUGUACGUACAAGCAGUGGGAGNNNNNNNNNNNNNGUGUGACUGCGUACCUUUUGUAUAAUGGGUCAGCGACUUAUAUUCUGUAGCAAGGUUAACCGAAUAGGGGAGCCGGAGGGAAACCGAGUCUUAAUUGGGCGUUAAGUUGCAGGGUAUAGACCCGAAACCCGGUGAUCUAGCCAUGGGCAGGUUGAAGGUUGGGUAACACUAACUGGAGGACCGAACCGACUAAUGUUGAAAAAUUAGCGGAUGACCUGUGGCUGGGGGUGAAAGGCCAAUCAAACCGGGAGAUAGCUGGUUCUCCCCGAAAGCUAUUUAGGUAGCGCCUCGUGAAUUCAUCUCCGGGGGUAGAGCACUGUUUCGGCUAGGGGGCCAUCCCGGCUUACCAACCCGAUGCAAACUGCGAAUACCGGAGAAUGUUAUCACGGGAGACACACGGCGGGUGCUAACGUCCGUCGUGAAGAGGGAAACAACCCAGACCGCCAGCUAAGGUCCCAAAGUCAUGGUUAAGUGGGAAACGAUGUGGGAAGGCCCAGACAGCCAGGAUGUUGGCUUAGAAGCAGCCAUCAUUUAAAGAAAGCGUAAUAGCUCACUGGUCGAGUCGGCCUGCGCGGAAGAUGUAACGGGGCUAAACCAUGCACCGAAGCUGCGGCAGCGACACUGUGUGUUGUUGGGUAGGGGAGCGUUCUGUAAGCCUGCGAAGGUGGCCUGUGAGGGUUGCUGGAGGUAUCAGAAGUGCGAAUGCUGACAUAAGUAACGAUAAAGCGGGUGAAAAGCCCGCUCGCCGGAAGACCAAGGGUUCCUGUCCAACGUUAAUCGGGGCAGGGUGAGUCGACCCCUAAGGCGAGGCCGAAAGGCGUAGUCGAUGGGAAACGGGUUAAUAUUCCCGUACUUGGUGUUACUGCGAAGGGGGGACGGAGAAGGCUAUGUUGGCCGGGCGACGGUUGUCCCGGUUUAAGCGUGUAGGUGUGUGUUCCAGGUAAAUCCGGUUCACUUUAACACUGAGGCGUGACGACGAGGCACUACGGUGCUGAAGCAACAAAUGCCCUGCUUCCAGGAAAAGCCUCUAAGCAUCAGGUAACAUCAAAUCGUACCCCAAACCGACACAGGUGGUCAGGUAGAGAAUACCAAGGCGCUUGAGAGAACUCGGGUGAAGGAACUAGGCAAAAUGGUGCCGUAACUUCGGGAGAAGGCACGCUGACACGUAGGUGAAGUGAUUUACUCAUGGAGCUGAAGUCAGUCGAAGAUACCAGCUGGCUGCAACUGUUUAUUAAAAACACAGCACUGUGCAAACACGAAAGUGGACGUAUACGGUGUGACGCCUGCCCGGUGCCGGAAGGUUAAUUGAUGGGGUCAGCGCAAGCGAAGCUCCUGAUCGAAGCCCCGGUAAACGGCGGCCGUAACUAUAACGGUCCUAAGGUAGCGAAAUUCCUUGUCGGGUAAGUUCCGACCUGCACGAAUGGCGUAAUGAUGGCCAGGCUGUCUCCACCCGAGACUCAGUGAAAUUGAACUCGCUGUGAAGAUGCAGUGUACCCGCGGCAAGACGGAAAGACCCCGUGAACCUUUACUAUAGCUUGACACUGAACAUUGAGCCUUGAUGUGUAGGAUAGGUGGGAGGCUUUGAAGUGUGGACGCCAGUCUGCAUGGAGCCGACCUUGAAAUACCACCCUUUAAUGUUUGAUGUUCUAACGUGGACCCGUUACCCGGGUUGCGGACAGUGUCUGGUGGGUAGUUUGACUGGGGCGGUCUCCUCCUAAAGAGUAACGGAGGAGCACGAAGGUUGGCUAAUCCUGGUCGGACAUCAGGAGGUUAGUGCAAUGGCAUAAGCCAGCUUGACUGCGAGCGUGACGGCGCGAGCAGGUGCGAAAGCAGGUCAUAGUGAUCCGGUGGUUCUGAAUGGAAGGGCCAUCGCUCAACGGAUAAAAGGUACUCCGGGGAUAACAGGCUGAUACCGCCCAAGAGUUCAUAUCGACGGCGGUGUUUGGCACCUCGAUGUCGGCUCAUCACAUCCUGGGGCUGAAGUAGGUCCCAAGGGUAUGGCUGUUCGCCAUUUAAAGUGGUACGCGAGCUGGGUUUAGAACGUCGUGAGACAGUUCGGUCCCUAUCUGCCGUGGGCGCUGGAGAACUGAGGGGGGCUGCUCCUAGUACGAGAGGACCGGAGUGGACGCAUCACUGGUGUUCGGGUUGUCAUGCCAAUGGCACUGCCCGGUAGCUAAAUGCGGAAGAGAUAAGUGCUGAAAGCAUCUAAGCACGAAACUUGCCCCGAGAUGAGUUCUCCCUGAGACUUAAAGUCUCCUGAAGGAACGUUGAAGACGACGACGUUGAUAGGCCGGGUGUGUAAGCGCAGCGAUGCGUUGAGCUAACCGGUACUAAUGAACCGUGAGGCUUAACCUUACAACGCCGAAG
rnacentral:rRNA from 1 species